rnacentral:lncRNA from 1 species
CUAGAGAACUUGAACCAUAUAAACUUUCACGAAUAUCAGCUAGUGAUAAUAAAGCAGCUCGAACACUUUCUGUCAGCAACAAAUCCUUGUUCAACUCUGAUUUCUUCCCAAAAGCUACAAAAAAUUUCUCCGACAAAGACUGAUUUGCAGGUCUGCAAAUAUUCCCCAUGGAUGAAACUAAGAGAUCAAGUUCAUUGUGACUUUCCUCUGGUAACAGCAUUAUGUAAAGCAAAACCAACAACUCAACUUGGGGUUCCCCUUCAAACGAAACUUCGAAAUAUUCAACAUUCUGACUAACACAUCCGCAGUAAUCUAACCUUCUCCACAGCAACAGCCUCCUUCUAUGGUAGCGACGAGAAAACAAAGAAGAACUCCACUGAUCUACCAGUUCAAGAUCUAUGUUGAGAAUGUCAAAAGGAUUAUCAGCCUCCGUGAAGCCAUAUCUAUGCAGCAAUGCAGCAUUGCCUAAAGAUCCGUACG